AACGUAGGUGGCAAACGUUAUCCGGAUUUACUGGGCGUAAAGAGUGCGCAGGCGGCCUUUCAAGUCGGAUGUAAAAUCUCCUGGCUUAACUGGGAGGGACCAUCCGAUACUGUUGGGCUUGAGUGCAACAGAGGAGAGUGGAAUUCCCGGUGUAGUGGUGGAAUGCGUAGAUAUCGGGAGGAACACCAGUGGCGAAAGCGGCUCUCUGGGUUGUAACUGACGCUGAUGCACAAAAGCGUGGGGAG
rnacentral:rRNA from 1 species